rnacentral:rRNA from 1 species
GAUGAACGCUGGCGGCGUGCCUAAUACAUGCAAGUCGAGCGAACAGACGAGGAGCUUGCUCCUCUGACGUUAGCGGCGGACGGGUGAGUAACACGUGGAUAACCUACCUAUAAGACUGGGAUAACUUCGGGAAACCGGAGCUAAUACCGGAUAACAUGUUGAACCGCAUGGUUCAACAGUGAAAGACGGUCUUGCUGUCACUUAUAGAUGGAUCCGCGCCGCAUUAGCUAGUUGGUAAGGUAACGGCUUACCAAGGCAACGAUGCGUAGCCGACCUGAGAGGGUGAUCGGCAACACUGGAACUGAGACACGGUCCAGACUCCUACGGGAGGCAGCAGUAGGGAAUCUUCCGCAAUGGGCGAAAGCCUGACGGAGCAACGCCGCGUGAGUGAAGAAGGUCUUCGGAUCGUAAAACUCUGUUAUUAGGGAAGAACAAAUGUGUAAGUAACUAUGCACGUCUUGACGGUACCUAAUCAGAAAGCCACGGCUAACUACGUG